UAUGUGAUCGUCUCUCGCAUAUCAAUAAGCGGAGGAAAAGAAACUAACAAGGAUUCCCCUAGUAACGGCGAGUGAAGCGGGAAGAGCUCAAAUUUGAAAUCUUAAAGGGUUUCCCUUUACGAAUUGUAGUUUAAAGAAGUGUUUUCUGUUGAGGUUUUGGUAAAAGUUCUUUGGAAUAGGACAUCAUAGAGGGUGAGAAUCCCGUAUUUGACCUUUACUUUCAACUUUGUGAUACACUUUCAAAGAGUCGGAUUGUUUGGGAAUGCAGUCCAAAAUGGGUGGUAAAUUUCAUCUAAAGCUAAAUAUUGGCGAGAGACCGAUAGCGAACAAGUACCGUGAGGGAAAGAUGAAAAGAACUUUGAAAAGAGAGUUAAACAGUACGUGAAAUUGUCAAAAGGGAAGCGUUUGACACCAGUGUUGUUUUUCUGAAAAUCAAUUAAAGAACUGUUUAUGCUAAGUUGUUUAGACUUUAUCAGCUAACUGUUUAGUUUUGAGCUUUUCUUUAAUGCACUUUUCAGUUAACAAGUCAACAUCAAUUUCUUUUGCUGUAAAAAAGCUUGAGGAAGGUGGCUUGAGAUUCGUCUUAAGUGUUUAUAGCCUCUUGCCUAUGCAGUCGGAGAGAUUGAGGUCUGCAGCGUAGAUCCUUCGGGGCUAAAUGCAGUUUGUGCUAAGUUAUAGCAUUUUAUAGACAACUUGUUGACUAUGAUUUGUCUUGUAGCUUACUCGCUUAUGUUAUUUUACCUACGCUUAGGAUGUUGACACACGCGCGUGCUCG
rnacentral:rRNA from 1 species